GGAGCCCGAGCCAAGAGCACUCACAGCUGUCCCAGCUACACAUCAGAACCACAAACAAACACUGUUGCCCGGCAACACGGCCUCGCCCCAGCAUCCUGGGGCUGAAUCAUGGGACCAGAGCCACUAGGAGCCGUCUGGCCACCAUCGUCUGCCGUGAGCUCUCCGCCCAGCCCUUUCAUUUCUCAGACGGGAAGACUGAGGCCCAGAGCGGGGAAGGGUCUCGCUCACGUUCACUCAACGAGGUGGGGACAAGGCUGGGAUGGGAUCCCAGGUCUCUUGCCGCGUGAUGUCACGCACAGCCAGAGCCCCGUCUCUCUCCGAGCGCCUUUUCUCUCUGCCGCUGCUGCGGCACGGGGCUGGGCACGCGAGAUGGCUCGCGAAUCCUGCCGACUGCAGUUCUGAAUCACGAGCCGGAUGGUCUCUUCACAAACAGCAGGCCUCACGGGGACGUACCGACUCAGAGGACAGAGGAGCCCGGAAUAUUCUCUAGACCCCGCAGAGAGAGCAGCGGCCUGCCUAACGCUGGCCCAGAAGCCUGAUGUAAAUGCGUCUACGUUUGUA